GUAAAUCCAAGAAUGUUAUCCACAUUUGUUAAUCCCUAAAAAUGAAAACAUACUGUGCUAUAUAAAAAGGAAACAGAAGUGAGGUGACGCUACUCCCACCCUAUUAAUAUAUUCUGGUGUUUGGUUUGUUCUCCUGGGUUACUUCAAUUUCCCACCGAGCUUUCAUGACCAAUGCCUUGACUGUUGAUUCAAAACUCGUGUUGACUGAAGGGUGCACUCAAUCCCACCAUUGGUGUCAUUGAUGAAGAUGUUAAAGAGCACCGGUCCAAGUAAUGACCCUUGUGGGACACCACUUGUCACCAAUCUCCGUCUGGACAUUGAGCCAUUGGCCACCACUCUCUGGUUACGAUCUCAUGACCAGUUUCUCAUCCAUCAAAGAGUUUACCCAUCAAAUCCAUAUAUUUCCAAUUAGGAGAGAAGGAUGUUGUGUGUGACCAUGUCAAAGACCCUACCGAAUCCAGGUAUGUUACACUGGUGGCUCUUCCCUUGUCCACUGACACAGUGAUAUCAUCAUAAAAAGCAACAGGGCUGAUCAGGCAGGACCUGAGCCGGUGAAGCCAUGCUGGUUAUCCCAUAUCACCUCCCUGUUUUCCAUGUACCUUAGCAUAGCUUCCAGGAGGAUUUGCACCAUGCUUUUCCCUGGCACAGAGGCGAGGCUAACAGUCAGCAGCUCUCUGAGUCAUCCUUUCUGUCCUUCUUGAAAAUGGGUGC
rnacentral:lncRNA from 1 species